AGCAGCCGCGGUAAUUCCAGCUCCAAUAGCGUAUAUUAAAGUUGUUGCAGUUAAAAAGCUCGUAGUUGAACUUCGGGGUUUACUCAUUGGUCAGGCUUAAUUGUCUGUACUGGUGAGAUGAAUCUCUACCUUCUGAGGAACUUUCAUGCCAUUUAUUUGGUGUGAUUGGAAAUCAGGACUGUUACUUUGAAAAAAUUAGAGUGUUUAAAGCAGGCUAACGUCUGAAUACAUUAGCAUGGAAUAAUGAAAUAGGACGGAUUGAUUCUAUUUCGUUGGUUUCUAGGGUCACCGUAAUGAUUAAUAGGGAUAGUUGGGGGCAUUGGUAUUCAAUUGUCAGAGGUGAAAUUCUUGGAUUUAUUGAAGACUAACUACUGCGAAAGCAUUUGCCAAGGAUGUUUUCAUUAAUCAAGAACGAAAGUUAGGGGAUCGAAGACGAUCAGAUACCGUCGUAGUCUUAACCAUAAACUAUGCCGACUAGGGAUCGGACGAAGUUAAUUAAUAAUGACGCGUUCGGCACCUUACG
rnacentral:rRNA from 1 species